rnacentral:rRNA from 1 species
GACGAACGCUGGCGGCGUGCUUAACACAUGCAAGUCGAACGGAAAGGCCCUGCUUUUGUGGGGUGCUCGAGUGGCGAACGGGUGAGUAACACGUGAGUAACCUGCCCUUGACUUUGGGAUAACUUCAGGAAACUGGGGCUAAUACCGGAUAGGAGCUCCUGCUGCAUGGUGGGGGUUGGUAAGUUUCGGCGGUUGGGGAUGGACUCGCGGCUUAUCAGCUUGUUGGUGGGGUAGUGGCUUACCAAGGCAUUGACGGGUAGCCGGGCUGCGCGGGUGACCGGCCACAUUGGGACUGGGAUACGGCACAGACUCCUACGGGACGCAGCAGUGGGGAAUAUUGCACAAUGGGAGGAAGCAUGAUGCAGCAACGCCGCGUGCGGGAUGACGGCAUUCGGGUUGUAAACCGCUUUCGCCUGUGACGAAGCGUGAGUGACGGUAAUGGGUAAAGAAGCACCGGCUAACUACGUG